rnacentral:misc_RNA from 1 species
CCAUUAAGGCUACAGUUAAGAUAUUGACUUUUCACAUUAAACUAUUGGUAAAUCUCAGCUAAAUAGAUGCAGGUUUAAAUGAUAUUUGCUAGUAGCUAGAAGAGGGGAAUGAAUUAAUCACAAAUUGUGUUUUUUAUAACAGUGACUCUGCAAAAUAAGUGAAGCAUUUUGAUUGAUGUUUUAGGUUAAACACACAGAACUGGAUAUAAAUAGGGAGUAUACAGGAUUCUGGCAUCAAAGGACAUUGACUGACUCCAAUAGAGAAGAGCUAAGGGGACCUUUAUAUGCCUAUGCGUACAGGUCCAUGGGAAUGUGACAAUCGUAUCAAAUUACUGCAUUGUACUUAGAAUUACAGCUUUGGAGUUUGGAUAUACAGCAAUUCUUUCUUACAGAUUGGAUUAAGUGACCAAACAAAAGGAUUUCUGCAGAAAUUAUACACAGAUUAUAAGAAACAAAAGAUUAGAGAAAUAUUAGGGAAGAUAAAGUGCAAAGGAAACCAUCAGAAACCAGAUUGGUGAUCUACAACAUUCUGCAAAAAUGACAAACUUUACUUGGAAGACGAUUGUGUUCUUUUGCAAUUUGGCAGUUGUCAUCUGUAACCUUGGUGUUGAGAUAGGUGAUUUAAUUGACAGAUCUAGUCACAAAGUAUCUGGUAAAGUCUAUGCAGUAGAUAACACUCGUUUACACAUCAAAGGAUUCACAUAUGAUGGCGAAGGUCCAGAUGCGUUUUUCUGGAUCAACAAAAAAGAUGGCAGUUCAACUGUCGAUGGAAAUGGACAAAAGAUGGCUGAUGAAAUGGGAAGUUUGGGCAUCUUAGGUAAAUAUGAAAACAAAGAUAUCACCCUGGAGCUGCCUAGGGGGCUAGAAGUGACUGACAUUAAGUAUCUAUCUGUGUGGUGCAAGCAGUUUGGGGUUAAUUUUGGAGAUAUCAUCUUCCCAGAUAACGUACAGCCUCCUCAAGCGAAAUCUAUUGGACAGUUUUCUGAGUUGGCACACGGCCUUAGGUCAGGAGAGGUUGUCAUCUUGGAUGAGAAGACUCUUAUGGUUAAUAAUUUGCACUAUGAUGGUCAGGGACCCGAUGCAUUUUUCUUGGCUGGCACUGGAGAUAGUGUGAGAUAUUACGAUGGAAUCACUAAAAUACCAGAUGAAACUGGCAGUUUGGCAAUUUUGAAGAAAUACACAGGCCAAACUAUUACACUGACAUUACCAGAUCCACUCACUGUCAAGUCCAUAGAUUGGGUGUCAAUGUGGUGCAUCCAGGCCAACCAGAACUUUGGAGAUGUUAAGAUGCCAGAUGAAUCCGAGCUCACCAAUAUUCCCCCUUACUUCCCUAGAAUUAUGAUGAAGGAACUUGAGAAUUGUGAACAACUGGAUUCUACAGUUAACGCAGCUUGGGAGAUAGAUGGCGCUAUGAUCACAAUAGACAUGUCUGCAAAACUAGAUGAGGGUGAUUACAUCUCAUUUGGCUUAAGCGGGAAUGCAGAUUCAGUAGCCAUGAUUAAUGCUGAUGUAACUGUUGGCUUCAUUGAUGAGGGCACGUAUAAAGCUCAGGAUUACUACCUCAAUGCAAAGGCUGGGUGCUCCAGUGGUAGAGGUGCAUGUCCAGACAUAACACAAGAUGGCGCUGAUGAUGUUAUGGAUGUCCAGGGCAGAAUGGUAGAUGGUAUAACAUCUAUAAGAUACACACGUCCUUUAGGAACAGGUGACAGCAAGGAUCGUAACAUUACUUUGGGUACAGAAAUGGCUGUAGUGUGGGGAAUAGGCAGACUUGGUCUUAACAAGCUGGUUACUUACCACAGCAAAAAGACAGCAGAAUUAAAGAAGGUUAAUUUUGGAAGGACUGCAAUGCGUAACUGCCCAAAUCUUAAUACUGGAAAUGAUGGGCCUGCUCCAACCCCUUGGAAGAAAAUUGAACUAUUUGGAGCAAUGAAUAAUACAUUUACUGCCAAAAUUGGACCAACUGGAGGAAAACAGGGGUACGAGGCUCUCACUGGACGACCAUCAUGGGGAAUAGCUUGGUACAUAAACAACAUUCUGAUUCCUGAAGUGUAUGUUGUACGCAAUACCACAUAUAAGUUUAUCAUAAAUGGGGGAAAUGAUCCUGUGAAUUCAGCCAAGAAUCAUCCCUUCUACCUGACUAGUAGCCCAGAUGGUGGAUACAUUCAACUGGGUGCUGAUGAAAGAAAGGAGGAAAGAGUAUUUGCUGGUGUGGAAGAUGGGAAUGCCACUGCUGCUGGGAGCUUGUGUCAGUACAAGGAAAGUGCGGGUAUAAAGCCAAGUUAUGCAACCUUUGACGAGUACUUUGAUAACCUGCAGGAAUUAUGUGAUGAGCCCAAGGAGCCAGCUGUCUUUGAGUGGACUCCUGAUGCUGACACCCCUGAUGUAGUAUACUACCAGUGCUUCACCCACAAAUAUCUGGGCUGGAAGAUGCGAGUAGUUGAUGAAAUGCCCACCAGCAGUUCAAGUACUACAGUGGCAGCCAUGAUAACACUGUUGCUCAACUAUCUGAUGACCCGACUUCUUAGGUAGUUAUUCAUAGCAGGAGGACUGUAAUGCAAAAUAACACAGACAAUAUUUGUAUCAUAUACAAAGCAAUGAAAUAGAAAUCAUUGGUACUCUAAAAAGUAUAUAUUUUAAUUACAUGUCUUUAUCAGGGGCGUAGCCAGCUUUUAGCGGGGGGGGGGUGCGAUCGCCAAUUUUUUCUGUUCAGUCAGGGGGGUGCGAUUGACUGAU